rnacentral:rRNA from 1 species
AGAGUGAACGCUGGCGGUAGGCCUAACACAUGCAAGUCGAACGGCAGCACAGGAGAGCUUGCUCUCUGGGUGGCGAGUGGCGGACGGGUGAGGAAUACAUCGGAAUCUACCUUUUCGUGGGGGAUAACGUAGGGAAACUUACGCUAAUACCGCAUAAGACCUUCGGGUGAAAGCCGGGGACCUUCGGGCCUGGCGCGGAUAGAUGAGCCGAUGUCGGAUUAGCUUGUUGGCGGGGUAAAGGCCCACCAAGGCGACGAUCCGUAGCUGGUCUGAGAGGAUGAUCAGCCACACUGGAACUGAGACACGGUCCAGACUCCUACGGAGGCAGCAGUGGGGAAUAUUGGACAAUGGGCGCAAGCCUGAUCCAGCCAUACCGCGUGGGUGAAGAAGGCCUUCGGUUGUAAGUCCCUUUGUUGGGAAAGAAAGUCCUGCCGGUUAAUAACCGAAGUAACGGAUAGACGGUAACCCAAAGAA